GAAAGUAAAGUCGUAACAAGGUCUCCGUUGGUGAACCAGCGGAGGGAUCAUUACAGAGUUGCAAAACUCCCAAACCAUUGUGAACGUUACCUAUCCCGUUGCUUCGGCGGGCGGCCCGGGCCCCGCGCCCGGCGCCCCCCGGCCCCCCGUGGGCGCCCGCCGGAGGUAAACCAAACCCUUGAAUUGCAUGGCCUCUCUGAGUCUUCUGUACUGAAUAAGUCAAAACUUUCAACAACGGAUCUCUUGGUUCUG
rnacentral:misc_RNA from 1 species